GACGAACGCUGGCGGCGUGCUUAACACAUGCAAGUCGAACGGAAAGGCCCUGCUUUGGUGGGGUGCUCGAGUGGCGAACGGGUGAGUAACACGUGAGUAACCUGCCCUUGACUUUGGGAUAACUUCAGGAAACUGGGGCUAAUACCGGAUAGGAGCUCCUGCUGCAUGGUGGGGGUUGGAAAGUUUCGGCGGUUGGGGAUGGACUCGCGGCUUAUCAGCUUGUUGGUGGGGUAGUGGCUUACCAAGGCUUUGACGGGUAGCCGGCCUGAGAGGGUGACCGGCCACAUUGGGACUGAGAUACGGACCAGACUCCUACGGGAGGCAGCAGUGGGGAAUAUUGCACAAUGGGCGGAAGCCUGAUGCAGCAACGCCGCGUGCGGGAUGACGGCCUUCGGGUUGUAACCCGCUUUCGCCUGUGACGAAGCGUGAGUGACGGUAAUGGGUAAAGAAGCACCGGCUAACUCCGUG
rnacentral:rRNA from 1 species